UUUUCCGAUGCUAUUGGCUGGGAAAGUUAUUACUACCACAUCAUUUAAACAUCUUCUGAAUUCAUCAUCACAGACGCACGAUCGAAAAGUUUCACCUCUAAAUAAUUCAACAGUAAAUGAAAAACAAAUUAAUAUCUAUGUAAGGAUAUCCUGUUCAUUACUGGUACAUCGAACAAGGGUUCUACAACAUUUAUCUGCUUGAGCGAAUUUACCAAGGGAAACUCUACUAUCAGGAUCAGUUGUUUUGUCGAGACACCAGUUAGUACCUGUACAAAAAUUAAAAAGCAUUAUUUAUUUAAAAGUGAAUUUUUUAAAUUAUAGCUGAUAUUAAAUUUUACCUUGUCGAGCCAAAAAGAGCUCAAGGUCAAAGAACCUUUUGGUUCUGGUGUACGUUGAGUUAUUAUCAGCAGAGGGCAUCGUUUCUAUUUCAUCCAACACUGUGAUAGGUUUGUCUGAAUCAUCAACUGGAGCAGCUGAUGAACUCAUCCAUACAGCACAUAGCACCGAGAUGAUGAAAAGCUAAUGGCAAACCAGUGACAAUGUUAAUGAAAACUGGUGUUUUAUGAAAGAAUACAAACUACGUGUUAGGAUUUUAGAGUCGAGCUUUUACAUUUGUAUCAGAAAUAUCAAAAAUUGUUGAGCGUCAUUGAAUGAUGUAGAUUUUUUUUUUUGUAAUGAAUUACAAUUCUUUCAAAAUUUAUUGUAGAUAUAUUUCCACUAGGGAAUACUAAUUAAUCAACCGAUUUUCUGAUCAAUCAUUAUUAAGUUUGAUCGAAUUUGCUUCUAAUGUACUUGAGCGUUCUUUGAUAACCUCUAGUUUUAGAAAUAAUAAGACUUAUUAUAAGUUCAAAGUCUUCUUGAUUUUUUUGUUCCAAUUUAUUCAAAUCUUAAAUUAAUUGCUCGUGAAAAAAGAAAAUAAAACUACACAGAUUUGUUCAAAUAUAUAUUUUUGACACAAUUGGAUCUACUUUAUUCUGCAAACAUCAACUUUAAUCUUUCAACUUAAAUCUUUGUAGAUAUAUUAUGAUUUAUGUAAAUAAGGGUGUAUCUAGACAUUAAUCUCACUUGAUUUUAUAGAUCUAUUAGCGUUUUCGAGCACGAAAACUCACCGUACGGUGAGAUGAGCGAUCAUUGCCGAUUACACCUGAAGUUUAAAUUUGAAUGCCAGUAAUUGCCGCUUUUUUAAAUUGUAGGUUAGAUUAAUAAUAAAUUGAAUGUGAAUAAAAUAGUUAAUUACACGUUUAUAACCAAGGUAUGUAUAUACAAAUAAUAAAUAAAAUAUUCAUUUGUUUUUAGAUUCAAUAAGUAGAUCUUGUUAAGUUUGUGAUACAUUCAUAUUGAUAAGGUUGGCUACAAUGAGAGGUGUUUGAUGUGCAUGGGGUAUGUUUCAGAGUCAGUUGACUCAGUAUAUUCAGAAAGUAUAGAAAAAAGAAUUGUUUAUUUCCUUUUUUUCUAAAUAAAAAAUCAUUAUUAUAAAAUAAAAUUAUAUCAUCUUUUAGAUUUGAAUAAAA